rnacentral:rRNA from 1 species
AUGCAAGUCGAACGGUAACAGGAAGCAGCUUGCUGCUUUGCUGACGAGUGGCGGACGGGUGAGUAAUGUCUGGGGAUCUGCCUGAUGGAGGGGGAUAACUACUGGAAACGGUAGCUAAUACCGCAUAACGUCGCAAGACCAAAGAGGGGGACCUUCGGGCCUCUUGCCAUCAGAUGAACCCAGAUGGGAUUAGCUAGUAGGUGGGGUAACGGCUCACCUAGGCGACGAUCCCUAGCUGGUCUGAGAGGAUGACCAGCCACACUGGAACUGAGACACGGUCCAGACUCCUACGGGAGGCAGCAGUGGGGAAUAUUGCACAAUGGGCGCAAGCCUGAUGCAGCCAUGCCGCGUGUAUGAAGAAGGCCUUCGGGUUGUAAAGUACUUUCAGCGAGGAGGAAGGUGGUGAGUUUAAUACGCUCAUCAAUUGACGUUACUCGCAGAAGAAGCACCGGCUAACUCCGUGCCAGCAGCCGCGGUAAUACGGAGGGUGCAAGCGUUAAUCGGAAUUACUGGGCGUAAAGCGCACGCAGGCGGUCUGUCAAGUCGGAUGUGAAAUCCCCGGGCUCAACCUGGGAACUGCAUCCGAAACUGGCAGGCUUGAGUC